rnacentral:tRNA from 1 species
CGGGGAUUGGCGCAGUUGGCUAGCGCGCCGCGUUUGGGACGCGGAGGUCGGAGGUUCGAGUCCUCUAUCCCCGACCA